GUAAAUACUUUUCGUAGCCACUGUAUGCAUGCAAAACUGCUAAAUCAUCCCUUAAAUAGUGCGAUUUUCCUGACAGUUUAACCGUUAAAUGAUAUCAUCAUAUAUGACUAUGUAACAGUUUGGGUUAUAUUCCAGUGAAUAUACCAAAUUUACCAUUUCCAGUGUAGUUCCAGAGAAUAUUCCAAAUUUACCAAUUACAGUUAUCCAAACUAUUGUAGAUCAUUUAGGAUUCAGCAAUGCCACUUGAGGAUUAAAAUAAUAGUAGUGUCUUUUAUUUUUAUUUAGUGUACGAAGACUUAAGACUGAAUUACUUAUAAAAUGACCUAAUUAAAACAAGGCGAGUGGAAGGAAUGCGUCCUACUGAACAUAAUAAAUUAAGUCUACAUCAAUGUUGUGUAUUGUUGGUCGAAGUG
rnacentral:misc_RNA from 1 species